rnacentral:lncRNA from 1 species
CACAAACCCGAUUAUCUCUUUCUGAACAAGGAGGGAAAUACUGGACCUGAGUUAUCAGAAGCCAGAUCCUCAACAGCCAUGUGGCAGGAGGCUCACUUAGAAGCUCAUGGACAAGCUAGUCUGUAGCAAAGAUGCAGAAAGAAGAUAGACUGUCUCAAAUUGGAAGUCAAGAACUAAUUCCUGAAACUGUCAUCAGACCUUCACACUUUCUGUGGAACACAUGCCUUCAUAUCCUUUCAAUGUAGCUGUGUGCAAACAUAUUUCCUCAUACUGACAACAAGAAAACCCACAACCCUGGAUGUGGCUGAAUGGCAAUAUUAGCACCAAAUACAGAAGAUGGGAAACAGUGAUGGAUUAGAGUUUCCCCAAUUCUUCUCCAGAGAAUAUGAAGUUAACUUUCAGAAGGACUUAGCGCAGCCUGUUUGGUGGAUCAUUGUCACCUAUGCACAUGUAUUAUGCUAAGUGUGGAUACUCAUACUAUGGUACCUUAUUUUCAGUUUGAUAUCACCUUCAACUUCAAAUUCUGUGACUCUGGGUGAAAGCACAUCGUGUCUUGCCAAAUGCUAGUACUCUCCCCUGAGUCUAGCUCCCUGCCUUCACUUAAUGAUUAUUGGGCAUAAUUACUGAGGUUGCGCUGAUCAGCAUGCCACCCUGACAGCUGUUUUAACCUUCCUCUGAUAAAGGGCAAAUAUCAUCUCAUCAUCUUUGGGUUAUUACGCUUGCUUCAUACUCAGUGAUUAUUGACUCCGUACCACCACCUCAAAUUUAAAUAAAAGGCCACUUAUACCAUAUUAGAUAACGUGU